rnacentral:rRNA from 1 species
CCUACGGGUGGCAGCAGUGGGGAAUAUUGCACAAUGGGGGAAACCCUGAUGCAGCGACGCCGCGUGAGUGAAGAAGUACUUCGUUAUGUAAAGCUCUAUCAGCAGGGACGAAAAUGACGGUACCUGCGUAUGAAUCCCCGGCUACCUACGUGCCAGCAGCCGCGGUAAUACGUAGGGGGCAAGCGUUAUCCGGAUUUACUGGGGGUAAAGGGCGCGUAGACGGCAGUGCAAGUCUGGAGUGAAAGGCUGGGGCUCAACCCCCGGACUGCUCUUGAAACUGUACGGCUGGAGUGCAGGAGAGGUAAGUGGAAUUCCGGGUGUAGCGGUGAAAUGCGUAGAUAUAAGGAGGAACACCAGUGGCGAAGGCGGCUUACUGGACUGUAACUGACGUUGAGGCUCGAAAGCGUGGGGAGCAAACAGGAUUAGAUACCCGAGUAGUC